rnacentral:rRNA from 1 species
GCUGGCGGCGUGCUUAACACAUGCAAGUCGCGUGCGCAGUUUCCGUAGCAAUACGGGAAUGGGCGCACGGCGCACGGGUGCGUAACACGUGGGCAAUCUGCCCUCCGAUGGGGAAUACCCCCGCGAAAGCGGGACUAAUUCCGCAUAACAUUCCUUGGAUUAACUUUCGAGGAUUCAAAGCAGCAAUGCGUCGGAGGAGGAGCCCGCGCCCGAUUAGCUAGUUGGUGAGGUAACGGCUCACCAAGGCAAUGAUCGGUAGCUGGUCUGAGAGGAUGGCCAGCCACACUGGAACUGAGACACGGUCCAGACUCCUACGGGAGGCAGCAGUGGGGAAUCUUGCACAAUGGGCGAAAGCCUGAUGCAGCGACGCCGCGUGGGGGAUGAAGCUUUUCGGAGUGUAAACCCCUUUCGACUGGGACGAAUGCCUCGCAAGAGGAGUGACGGUACCAGUAUAAGAAGCCCCGGCUAACUACGUGCCAGCAGCCGCGGUAAGACGUAGGGGGCCA